GUUCCGACUCCGGCCCUUCUUUGGGUCAAGUGUCUCAAUUUGUAUUCGAAGCACUCGGCUUGGUUCGAGAACAAAUAGGAUGCGAAAUUUGAACUUUGUUGCUGGAAAAUGAAUUUUGAGUUACUGAAAUUGUGAUUAAGUGCUGGAAAUGUAGUUUUAAGAUUAAAAAAGCCCAGUGUAAGUGCUCGAAUUGGGUGCUGAGAGCUGGUAUGUGCUGAGAUUGAGAUACAGAUGCUGAAAUUACAUUCUUGAAUGCAGAAACUAAGAGUGUAAGUGCAUAAAUUGAAAUUUUAAGUUGGAUUUUGUGUUUUAAGUGGUGGAACAAUAAAAUUAAGAACCUUAGCUUGACUAUUGUGUUACAAAGGGGAUUGUGUGUUUGGUUUUGGUGAUACCGAGUGGUCCGAGUGAUAUAAAGAUAUCCGGGUGCUUUAUAGUUUACAGAAUCUUUGUGCAUUACAAUCUCUGUUGUGUACAUGAAUCUCAUUUAGAAGAACACCCAAUGUUUUGGAUGGCUAGUUAAAAUGGGCAGGGUAAAAAAUGCAGGAAAGACCAAAAGGUUUUCCCUUUGCGGAAUAUGAGACUGAAGAGAUUGCAGACUAUGCUGUCGGGCUUUUCUCUGGCUUGUGACUCUUUACAACAGGACAUUGAAAUUUGCAUUGACGGAUGGGGAAUGCUUCAAUAAGGGUCCCUCUUCCCCCACCUCGUUACAGUGCAGCUUCUACCGGCAAUAGCUCAAAACUAUACAACUUAAGCACUUUUCAGCAAAAUACCCCUCCCUACCCUGGAUACAGCAAUUAAGACUGCUCCAUCUUCAAGUUUUGAUCAGCAUGUUGGCAAAUGUGGAUGUAAUGAUCGUUGGCUUCAAUUUACAAGGAAUGAAAAUGGGAAAAGGAUUGUAGCAGUUUUUGGGAUUUCAGGCUUUUAGAAUUGGUUACCAAGGUGUAUUAUUUUCCAGUUUUUUUUUUUUAAAAAAAAAACAGCUUUUAUUGUCGACAAAUAACUUAGUCACUGAUUGUUUUUUCCCAAUUUUUUUUAAAAAAAAAUCUAUUAUUGCCGACUAAAAAAGUUAGUCGCUGAUUGUUAUUUUUCAGUUUUUUUUUAAAAAAAACAGCUUUUAUUGCCGACUAAGAAUUUAGUCACUAAUUGUUUUUUUCCAAUUUUUUUUUAAAAAAAAUCUAUUAUUGCCGACUAAAAAAGUUAGUCGCUGAUUGUUAUUUUCCAGUUUUUUUUUUUAAAAAAAACUGUUAUUGCAGACUAAACAAUUAGUCGCUGAUGAGUGUUAACAUUCCCCGACAAAAGUUUAGUCGGUGAUAGUCCGAACAUUUACCGACUAAAUUUUAAUUGCCGACUAAACAUGAUAGUCGAUAAAAAAGCAAACUUUAGCCGACUAAAUAUUUUUUAGUCGGCAAAUACAAGACUAAAUAUUUUUUAGUCGGCAAAUGUAUUUGCCGACUCGCUUCCGUCGACCAAACUGACGACUAAAUUAUUUAGUCGGGAAAUUCUUUCGCCGACUAAAAAUGUCACAUUUGCUGACUAAAUGGUUAGUCGGGAAUGGUGAAUUUUCUUGUAGUGAAUGUUGUUUUACUCAUAAACUGUUAUAUAAUGUGAAAUAUUUCCAUGGUCAAUUUUGGUAUACAUAUCUCACCCGAGUUGACUUAUGCAAAAUGUUUUACAUUUUUCCAAGAAAAUAGCAUGUCUAGCCAUCAACUCAUCAAUGCUUGUUGGUGCUAUGUGGACAACCAUAAGUUGCCCAAUGGUUUGUAAUUAUUAUACUUGUACACUUAGAAACUCUGUGAUUAAUUAUGUUAUUUAUUGUACACUUUUGCAUACUUUUUUUGUGUAUAUGCAUGUUUUAAAAUGACGAUGAUGCUAGAAAUUCUUAAACUAGAAUAUAAGAAGGCCUUCAGCAGCUUAACACCCGCUUGGUCGGUCACGACUUCCAAGAUCAAUUUUGAGUUGUGACAAGAGGCAUGCAUGAAAAGAGAAAGAGAUAUUGACGUGGUGGCAGUUUCACAUUAAAACAUUCACAUGAUACUCACGGAGAAAUCCUCUCCCCAGAACAUUUAUAAACAGGAUAAUAUUUGCUCCUUGAUUUCCAACAGCCAAGUAAAAUGGUUGUGUCCUUUAAUUGCCAUUGACAAUAAAAUAAGCUGAAGAUGAGAGCCUCUUAAAUACGUCCUUAUGCCCAUACAUGUUGCUAUCAUAAUCAAGCACCAGUAAUAUUAUUAGAAGAAAUUAUUAGUUUUAAAAUAUGCAAAAUAUCCAACAUGUAUACUUUUCAAGUUGAAUCUUAGCUUUGAUGGAUACAAAGGAAUUUGCAGUACAAAAUAGAUGUCUACUAUAACGGCUUUGUAGUCUUUGAGAUGACAGUUAGUAUUGUUCAUUACAAGGUUACAGUACUCUCUAAAGGACGAUCUGUGUUUUUAGCUCCUUUCAGUUUCAGACACUACCCGACGGGAGGAUGGAGAUCUCCAUGGACUUCUAAUCUCAGCAUUCAUCAAGUAACCUGCAACUCUAACUAUCCUGACUGAAACGCUCUCAUUAUUUGCAUUCACAUCAGCCACUUGAGAUGAGUGAUGACGGCAGUAGUUCCUCAGUAAGUGCCCAAGGAAUAGGAGAAAACAAACAGAGGAAGUGCCAACGGAGAAGAAGAAUAGGCCCCAGAAGCUUCGGAGGCUCAAGCUAUCAACGUUCUCCUCCAUUGUAUUCUCAGUCAUAUUCAGAUAAGAUUUUGAACACACUUUGUUGGGAGUUAACCAAGCCUCUUCUAGGCUUUUCAGAGUCCCGUUCUCUGAGAGUUCGAGAAUGACUUCCGAGACACUAGCAACUAGUGAAGAACCUUUUUGGAAUACCUGCAAAGGAACAUGAAUAUAUGAAGAUAUCUUUGUACAUGCUUUGAAGUCAUCAAAUACUAUGAAAUAAAAGGAAAAGAAACGCCAACAAAAAGGAAAAUUUUU